AUACAGAGGGUGCAAGCGUUGUUCGGAAUUACUGGGCGUAAAGCGCGCGCAGGCGGGAUGGCAAGUCGGAUGUGAAAGCCCUUAGCUCAACCAAGGAAGUGCAUUCGAAACUGCUGUUCUUGAGUGUCGGAGAGGGUGGCGGAAUUCCCGGUGUAGAGGUGAAAUUCGUAGAUAUCGGGAGGAACACCAGUGGCGAAGGCGGCCACCUGGACGAACACUGACGCUGAGGCGCGAAAGCGUGGGGAGCAAACAGGAUUAGAUACCCUGGUAGUCCACGCCGUAAACGAUGAGUGCUAGCUGUUGCGGGAGUUGACCCCUGCAAUGGCGAAGCCAACGCAUUAAGCACUCCGCCUGGGGAGUACGGCCGCAAGGCUAAA
rnacentral:rRNA from 1 species